rnacentral:rRNA from 1 species
CAGCAGCCGCGGGAAUACGUAGGGUGCGAGCGUUAAUCGGAAUUACUGGGCGUAAAGCGUGCGCAGGCGGUUGUGUAAGACAGGUGUGAAAUCCCCGGGCUCAACCUGGGAAUGGCAAUGGAUACUGGCAAGCUAGAGUGUGUCAGAGGAUGGUGGAAUUCCACGUGUAGCAGUGAAAUGCGUAGAUAUGUGGAGGAAUACCGAUGGCGAAGGCAGCCCCCUGGGAUAACACUGACGCUCAUGCACGAAAGCGUGGGGAGCAAACAGGAUUAGAUACCCCCGUAGUCCCUGUCUCUUAUAC